CGCUUGUCGCCUGAAACAUUUGUCUCAGCCUUUGCAAGGAAAGGUGAGCAAAGUUUCAGGUGUGUUUACGA
rnacentral:pre_miRNA from 1 species